UAUCACUUGACAGUGUGGCUCCAGGGACUGACUGUCUAAGUGGGCUGGUGUGAUCGGUUUCCCUGUCCUUCUCUAUCCACAGAGCCGAUCCAGGUGGUGAGCGAUGACUCUGGGGAUGAGCCAGAGAGUCAGGAUACUGAGGUUCCCAUGGGGCACAUGGGAAAAGAAGCUGGCAGCGUGGUGUCGGCGGUGGAUGGAGGUGCAGCUAAAGGUGACAGAAGGGGUACCAAGCGCAAUCCGUGGACCCCAGCAGAAGUGAAAGCUGUUGAACGUCACAUGAUUCGGUUCAUUCGCUCAUUCAAGGUGCCGGGCAAGAAUGACUGUGAUGCGUGCCUAAGGGCAGAACGACAAGCGCUGAAGGCUCGGAACUGGCUCUCGGUUAAGUUUUACAUUAAGAACCGAAUUACUGCUGAAAUGAGAAAGAACCUUUCCUGAAUAAAAUGUAUCUGCUGCUGAA